rnacentral:tmRNA from 4 species
GGGGGCGAUACGGCUUCGACGGAGGUAUGAAACCGCGGGAUGCAUGCCGAGCACCAUCGACUCGCUAAUCCGAUGGAACACAACCAUAACUGCGAACGAGCAGCUACCACUCGCCGCCUAAGGGCGACGACGUUCACCCCGUUCUUGCCUGCGAGGCGGGACUGAAUGUCAUUUCAGCAGGCUGGUCGUGCCGUGCCGUACCGACGCGGAACGACGAGACGGUUUCGGGACUAGCCAGUAGCGGUUUGGGCGGCUCUUCUACGCCGCUGGCGAAACUUCAAGAGCCGACACGCAUGUAGAGUCUCACGGGCACGUACUUUCGGACGCGGGUUCGACUCCCGCCGCCUCCACCA